GGAUGAACGCUGGCGGCGUGCCUAAUACAUGCAAGUCGAGCGAACAGAUGAGGAGCUUGCUCCUCUGACGUUAGCGGCGGACGGGGGAGUAACACGUGGAUAACCUACCUAUAAGACUGGGAUAACUUCGGGAAACCGGAGCUAAUACCGGAUAAUAUAUUGAACCGCAUGGUUCAAUAGUGAAAGACGGUUUUGCUGUCACUUAUAGAUGGAUCCGCGCCGCAUUAGCUAGUUGGUAAGGUAACGGCUUACCAAGGCAACGAUGCGUAGCCGACCUGAGAGGGUGAUCGGCCACACUGGAACUGAGACACGGUCCAGACUCCUACGGGAGGCAGCAGUAGGGAAUCUUCCGCAAUGGGCGAAAGCUUGACGGAGCAACGCCGCGUGAGUGAUGAAGGUCUUCGGAUCGUAAAACUCUGUUAUUAGGGAAGAACAAAUGUGUAAGUAACUAUGCACGUCUUGACGGUACCUAAUCAGAAAGCCACGGCUAACUACGUG
rnacentral:rRNA from 1 species